rnacentral:antisense_RNA from 1 species
AGCCUAGGACCCCGACUCUGGCAGGGGAUGCUUCUGAACAGUGCUAAGUGGAAGCCCAUGAAAGAACAGACUGUUCUCAAGGCCCGUGGAGGAAAAGAUGUUACAAGCCAUCCCUCCAGAUUCCUGGACAAGCUCUGAGUCCCUGCCCAGAAACCAAAAGGCAGAAUCAGUGUUAUAUUUGUGGUCAGAUGAGCUAACGACAUCCUUCCUGACUUCUUUCUCAGAAUUAGGAAACCCUGAUUAGCAUUUAUAACCUCAUUUUCACAGACUUCACUCAUUAAAACAUCAAGACCUAGGUAACACAUCAGUGAAAUUUCAUAAUGUGGAGGAUAUGUUUAAAAUAUGUAUUUUAAACUGUGGUUAAAAUAUGUUUUUAAAAUGUUUAUGAGUCAAAAUAAUUAAAAUUGCCAUUUAACAUAA